ensembl:lncRNA
GUCUUGUUGGAGAUCUCUGCCUACCUCAGGCCUCCUGAAGGGUGUCACACUUCAGACUAGUUGUUUCAGAAUAUUACAUUUGGGAUUUUUCUUACACAUAAAACAAUACUUCUGAUUUUAUCAUACACCUGAAAAAGUAGAAAAUUGCUCCAUAUAAUUAGUUCAAGCCCUCUUGCAUGAGAUAAAGUGAACAUUUGUCUCUAAAAGGGGGGGAGGAAAUGUUUGAAAACUACCUUUGUGGCUUUUACCAUUUCCAUGGCGUUGUGAUCUCUAAGAACUGAGGUCAUGUAUGACACACAAAAUACUUUGCUAACAUCAUGUAUAUGCUAGGGUUAUUCCUUCAGAUUUAUUUUUCAUGGAUUUUGUUUGUAACAUUUUAAGUACCAUGUAGCUAGCACAUUUGUAAAUAUUCUAUUGUUAAAUACGUGCACGAGAAACUGAACAUAUUGUAAGUAGAUAACAAUAAUGAACCUUUGCGUAGCUCAAAUGUUUAGCAUGUGGCCAAAUAAUUUAACAUGUAGGCAGAUAAUGAACCUAGUUACAAAUAAACUUGCUCUUGACUUCAAGAAUGUUAUAGAAUCAUUACUGUGGAGAGAAGUUGGAUGUUUCUGUUGUAUGCUCAACUGCAUUUUGGAAGCAGCUUUUUAGACAACUGGUCGAAGGUGAGGAAAAAGUGGAAACUCUUAGUUAAAAAGGAUGCCAUUGAUUAAUUCCUUUUUUCCCGCUUGGAUUUUUGUCCUUUUCAUACUGUAUUAUUUGUAAGCUUGCUUAAAGUACCUUAUGCAAGAUUCAGAGGGGGGGAAAAAAGCCACAUUGUAUAGUAUUUAAAUAAUUGAAUGCUGGUGGAAAGGUGGGCUUUUGAUGAGUCUGCAGUUUUGUAUUGAAAAUCAAAUACAUUGUAAGCAUAGGGAAACACAACUCAGUGCCCUGAGAAGGUUUGGUGUCAUGGUCAACAUUCAAAAUUUGCAUGAGAGGUUAUUCAAAAGAGAGGCAGCAGACUUCCCUAUUGUAUUAACAUGGUAAUGCAAUUCUUUGUGUCUAUUAUCCUGAUCCACAUCAGCUCUGGUAUGCACAGAGUCUGGAUUUUUAUGAGCUAUAUGCUUUUAUGCAGAGAUAUUUUAUUAAUCCAAUUAAGAAUUUUAUAAAAGUAAAUUAUAU